rnacentral:rRNA from 1 species
UAAUACGAAGGGGGCUAGCGUUGUUCGGAAUUACUGGGCGUAAAGGGCGCGUAGGCUGUGCUGUAAGUCAGGCGUGAAAGGCCCGGGCUCAACCUGGGAACUGCGUUUGAUACUGCGGCGCUGGAAGGCAGGAGAGGAUGGCGGAAUUCCCAGUGUAGAGGUGAAAUUCGUAGAUAUUGGGAAGAACACCGGUGGCGAAGGCGGCCAUCUGGCCUGCAAUUGACGCUGAGGCGCGAAAGCGUGGGGAGCAAACAGGAUUAGAUACCCUGGUAGUCCACGCUGUAAACGAUGAGUGCUAGACGUCGGGGAGCUUGCUCUUCGGUGUCGCCGCUAACGCAUUAAGCACUCCGCCUGGGGAGUACGGUCGCAAGAUU